rnacentral:rRNA from 1 species
UAGGGAAUCUUCGGCAAUGGGGGGAACCCUGACCGAGCAACGCCGCGUGAGUGAAGAAGGUUUUCGGAUCGUAAAGCUCUGUUGUUAAGGAAGAAAGAGUGUGAGAAUGGAAAGUUCAUACUGUGACGGUACUUAACCAGAAAGGGACGGCUAACUACGUGCCAGCAGCCGCGGUAAUACGUAGGUCCCGAGCGUUGUCCGGAUUUAUUGGGGGUAAAGCGAGCGCAGGCGGUUAGAUAAGUCUGAAGUUAAAGGCAGUGGCUCAACCAUUGUAGGCUUUUGAAAAUGUUUAACUUGAGUUGAGAAGGAGAGAGUGGAAUUCCAUGUGUAGCGGUGAAAUUCGUAGAUAUAUGGAGGAACACCGGUGGCGAAAGCGGCUCUCUUGUCUGUUACUGACGCUUAGGCUCGAAAGCGUGGGGAGCGAACAGG